rnacentral:tRNA from 1 species
CGAUCGCCUGGCGCACCGGCUGCGGCAGCACGUCGUCGACGACGACGUGCGGGAACGGUCGGGUUCGAACCCGCGCGGCCGC